rnacentral:rRNA from 1 species
CCUACGGGUGGCAGCAGUGGGGAAUAUUGGACAAUGGGCGAAAGCCUGAUCCAGCCAUGCCGCGUGUGUGAAGAAGGCCUUCGGGUUGUAAAGCACUUUCAGUGGGGAAGAAAGCCUUGGGGCUAAUACCCUCGAGGAAGGACAUCACCCACAGAAGAAGCACCGGCUAACUCCGUGCCAGCAGCCGCGGUAAUACGGAGGGUGCGAGCGUUAAUCGGAAUUACUGGGCGUAAAGCGCGCGUAGGCGGUCUGAUAAGCCGGUUGUGAAAGCCCCGGGCUCAACCUGGGAACGGCAUCCGGAACUGUCAGGCUAGAGUGCAGGAGAGGAAGGUAGAAUUCCCGGUGUAGCGGUGAAAUGCGUAGAGAUCGGGAGGAAUACCAGUGGCGAAGGCGGCCUUCUGGACUGACACUGACGCUGAGGUGCGAAAGCGUGGGUAGCAAACAGGAUUAGAUAACCGAGUAGUC